UUAAUAAAUGUAUGAGGUCAAAGGGUGAUCAUGAAGGUCCAACGCCUAGAAAGGUGACCUCCAUUGCGGGUGUCUUUCUAAAGUCUACCCAAGUGGUGGGGUAUAUAUCAUAAUUUGUUGUUGUGGGGGGGUUUGCAUUCGCGCGGCCCCUUA
rnacentral:snRNA from 1 species